rnacentral:rRNA from 1 species
CACGCUGUAAACGAUGAGAACUAAGUAUUGCCGUGAGGCAGUGCUGAAGCUAACGCAUUAAGUUCUCCGCCUGGGGAGUACGGUCGCAAGACUGAAACUUAAAGGAAUUGACGGGGCCCCGCACAAGCAGUGGAGCAUGUGGUUUAAUUCGACGCUACGCGAAGAACCUUACCAGGACUUGACAUGGAAUUAAAGACCCUAGAAAUAGGGGGAUAGUCAUAGUUCACACAGGUGG